CUAGGACAUAUUUACAUCUUUCUUCUAAAUAGACUCAGUAGAAUUAAUUAAGGAAUUCUAAUGGCAAUUUAAGUCCUUUGAAAACACAAAGAAAUUUCAUUACAGGGAUGGAACAGGGUCUCCUGGGAAAUUGAUGAAAAGCAGGACGUAGGAAGAAAGGCCCUGGGAGGGAACCCUGAAUAUAGCCCCCCUGAGAUUUGGCCAAAUAUAGACAAGGAUCUAGGGUGAGAAAAAGAUGUUCUGUCUGAACACUAAGGGCUGUGAAGAGCCUGAACUUAGUUUAGCCACUGCACCGCACUGCACUCUCCUGGGGGAACAACAUACUUUUCCCUAAUAAUUUCUCCAUGCACCAUCUUUGCCCAGCCCCUCAUCUUUCUUAGUACCUUACUCAGUGGAAAGAACAACUCCUGAGGUACAAGAUUAAGAUCCAAGCAAUCAACAAAAACAUUUCAAAAGCACUUCAACCCAGAGUUCACAGAGGCUUCCGGGACUUGAGAGCCAGCCCAGCCCAUCUCUCAGUAGCAAAUACCAUGAAGGGGCGGGGACAGGUGACAGAAGAGGCUGCCAAGGUCUCUGGUUUGAAAACGAAGGUUAUGACAGUAACCAUGAGCUUGCCUGAAAUCUUUCCAGAUUUGGAGGGGCGAGAGGGAGGGAAAGGGAUUGGAAAUGGUCACUCUCGUGCUGGGUCUUCAAGGUGCGGAAACUAGGAGCUGGGCUGAGGCAGCGCGACCCAGGGGAAGCAGCCUGGUUGCCGCGCUCCGGGCAGGGCCUGCGGCGCGUGGCUUCUGCAUCGCACUCACCCGGUCCGCAGCCCGCGCGCGCGCACCCCGCACCCCGCGUCCCACCCGUGCGGUCCCCGCCAGGCUCCCGGGCCCUGCCUUCGCCUUACACUGAAUAGGNNNNNNNNNNNNNNNNNNNNNNNNNNCACCCGCUGGUUCAGCUGCCCGGUCCACCAGCCCUCGUCGCCGGACACCUGCGAGUCCUUGGACAGCACCUCCACAACGUCGCCCAGACGCAGGCUCCUUUUUCAGUUGAUUCUGAAAUCAGAAUCCUCUUGGAUCCGACUGCACUGGUUCAACCUGGAGGAUCAGCUUCUGCCCCCCAUGCUCCCGCCCCGGGGCCUUCCACCCCCUAUUGGAGCCUCUGAGGUCAGGCCCGUUCCAGUGCUUAUUCCAAGGGCUCUUGGGGCUACACGCCUCGCAUUUACGAAGUCUGCGCAGCUCGCCCUCUCCCCAAUUCCUGCAGGAGAAAAAUUCCAAUGCCAUCGUCGUUUUAGAAUCUAGAAAGGCCGGAGUCCGCCUUCCUGAGGCUUCCCGCUGAGACAAGGAAAGCUGUCUUGAAGUGGGCUUGCUUUCCCUGAAGAGAAUCAACUUUUCUACAAUCCCUGGGUGUCUCUCGCCUGGAAUUGCACCUCGGUCAUGGUGGUGACGUCUGCUGAGCUCAGAGCAAAAACCAAACUCAGGACACUUUAACAUUAAGAAAGAAGAACAUACGGGGCCCCUAGUGUUCUCUGCUUUAAUCCUAUUGUAGCAAAGUCAACUUCCACUAAGAAGAGUUCUCUGUUAUUUCAAACAAGCCAGCGUUUAAGGAUCUCGCCUGAUAGCCACUAAACUGUGCUACCUUCUCCUCUUCGGAACAGGAAUAAAGAAGAUUUAUUUACCAAGAGUUAGUGUUUCUCUAACUAUUUGCUUGUUUAAUUUUUUGUUGGGAUUCAUUAUUAGACAAACGAGCAAUGUGGGGAAAAAAAUAAAAUAAAACCAGGCGGGAGAGCUGGGGCAAGUGCUUAGCACUGGCCUGCAGCCUGCUCAUCCUGAAAGUAGAGGCAAGACUGCAAGAUUGGUGUGGUUUGCCGGUGAAUAUGGCUGCGCUGAACCCUGGGCAUCCGCGUAUUUAAGGUCAUAAAAAAGACAAGUGAAAUGAUACUGUUCAAAAGAGCAGCCAGCCAGGCCAUGUAGCACGCUUGUGAUUCCGGCUACUCAGAAGGCUGAAGCAGGAGGAUCGCAAGAGCAAUGUGAGCAAUCUAGUGACUGAGCAAGACUAUCUCAAAAUAAAAAGGCCGAGUAGCCCGUGUGGUGGUGCACACUUGUAAUCCCAGCACUCUGGGAGACUGAAGCAUGAAAAUAACAAGUUUGACCCCAGCAUAGGCGAUUAAGCAAUUUAGGAAGACCUUGUCUCAAAAAAUUAAAAAGGGUUGCGGACGUAGCUCAAUGCAAAGCCCUGGGUUCAAUCCCCAGUAACACACAUGCACACUCUCACUAAAGCACAUCCAGAGUAAGUCUUGAGAAAGGAUUCCUGAAGAAAAACAAUAUUCAAGUUCUUACUGUAUGUAGAAAAAUGGAUGAUUCUGAGAAAAUUCUCUAGUUUUUGGUUAAGAGAAAACCAUUCCUCCUCCAAGCAGAAUGCCAGAGAGUAGGUACUUCAUGUCUUAAAAAGACCUUAAGAAAAAAGUUUUUCUUGAUAAAAUUUUAAUUUGAGGGAAAAAGGAGUUUUACAAAGUGGAUGUAGAUAUCCAAAGAAAAAGGAAACACCAGAAAGAAAUGUCUGUAGUGGGUCUCUUCAAGUAGUAGGAUUAUGAGUAAGUGGGUGGCUUCCGCUGUCAUUUUGCUUAUCUGUAAUUUUUUUAAUGUUCUGCUCUAGUUUUGUGUGGAUUCCUUCCUCCCUGGGAAAGGGNNNNNNNNNNNNNNNNNNNNNNNNNNNNNNNNNNNNNNNNAAAGAGAAAAACAAUCCUUG
rnacentral:lncRNA from 1 species